rnacentral:rRNA from 1 species
AGCAAGCACCGGCUAACUCCGUGCCAGCAGCCGCGGUAAUACGGAGGGUGCAAGCGUUACUCGGAAUCACUGGGCGUAAAGCGCGCGCAGGCGGCUAUUUAAGUUGGAUGUGAAAGCCUACGGCUCAACCGUAGAACUGCAUCCAAAACUAUUUAGCUAGAGUGUGGGAGAGGAAGAUGGAAUUAGUUGUGUAGGGGUAAAAUCCGUAGAGAUAACUAGGAAUACCAAAAGCGAAGGCAAUCUUCUGGAACACUACUGACGCUGAGGCGCGAAAGCGUGGGGAGCAAACAGGAUUAGAUACCCUGGUAGUCCACGCAGUAAACGAUGAAUGUUAGUCGUCGGGUAGCUAGUCUAUUCGGUGAUGCGGCUAACGCAUUAAACAUUCCGCCUGGGGAGUACGGUCGCAAGAUUAAAACUCAAAGGAAUAGACGGGGACCCGCACAAGUGGUGGAGCAUGUGGUUUAAUUCGAAGAUACGCGAAGAACCUUACCUAGCCUUGACAUAUUUUAGAACUCACCAGAGAUGGAGAGGUGCCUUCGGGAGCUAAUUUACAGGUGCUGCACGGCUGUCGUCAGCUCGUGUCGUGAGAUGUUGGGUUAAGUCCCGCAACGAGCGCAACCCUCGUCACUAGUUACUAACGGUUCGGCCGAGGACUCUAGUGAGACUGCCUUCGUAAGGAGGAGGAAGGUGAGGACGACGUCAAGUCAUCAUGGCCCUUACGGCUAGGGCAACACACGUGCUACAAUGGCCAGGACAGUGAGACGCAAUACCGCGAGGUGGAGCAAAUCUAUAAACCUGGUCUCAGUUCGGAUUGUUCUCUGCAACUCGAGAACAUGAAGCUGGAAUCACUAGUAAUCGUAGAUCAGCUAUGCUACGGUGAAUACGUUCCCGGGUCUUGUACUCACCGCCCGUC